rnacentral:sRNA from 1 species
GGGGCUGACACACUUCUGGCCGCGUUUAGGGAAUCCGGUUUUUCAUUUUGGCCCAAGUUGAGCCCCUUCUCUUUCUCUUUGUGUGUGAGAGUGGGUCUGGCGGGGCUGACAGCCGCCGCCCCGGGCUGCACGGUGGUUUGCGGUGUGGGAACGGCUGGAGGCGCGCGCAGCGGCAGGAGAGUUGGUGGCGGGGACAGAGGACGGGCUGGAGGCAUUCUGGAAUUUAUCAGUAUAGCAGUGGGCCUGGUCAGCAUUCGAGGCGUGGACAGUGGACUCUACCUCGGGAUGAAUGAGAAGGGGGAGCUGUAUGGAUCAGAAAAACUAACCCAAGAGUGUGUAUUCAGAGAACAGUUCGAAGAAAACUGGUAUAAUACGUACUCAUCAAACCUAUAUAAGCACGUGGACACUGGAAGGCGAUACUAUG